rnacentral:rRNA from 1 species
AGAAUCAACGCUGGCGGCGUGCCUCAGACAUGCAAGUCGAACGCGAAAGUCCCCUUCGGGGGACAAGUAGAGUGGCGCACGGGUGAGUAACACGUAGGUAAUCUACCUUCGGAUGGGGAAUAACAACCGGAAACGGUUGCUAAUACCGCAUAAUGCAGCGGCACCUAAUGGUGACAGUUGUUAAAAGCGGGGGAUCGAAAGACCUCGCGUCUGAAGAGGAGCCUGCGGCGGAUUAGCUAGUUGGUAGGGUAACGGCCUACCAAGGCGACGAUCC